UCACAGGUUUCUUUUGAAACCAGCUUAAUUCCAUUGAGAGAGUUCU
rfam:Harpegnathos saltator strain R22 G/1 HarSal_1.0_1.contig242, whole genome shotgun sequence.